rnacentral:rRNA from 1 species
AGUGAACGCUGGCGGUAGGCCUAACACAUGCAAGUCGAACGGCAGCACAGUAAGAGCUUGCUCUUACGGGUGGCGAGUGGCGGACGGGUGAGGAAUACAUCGGAAUCUACUUUUUCGUGGGGGAUAACGUAGGGAAACUUACGCUAAUACCGCAUACGACCUACGGGUGAAAGCAGGGGAUCUUCAGACCUUGCGCGAUUGAAUGAGCCGAUGUCGGAUUAGCUAGUUGGCGGGGUAAAGGCCCACCAAGGCGACGAUCCGUAGCUGGUCUGAGAGGAUGAUCAGCCACACUGGAACUGGGACACGGUCCAGACUCCUACGGGAGGCAGCAGUGGGGAAUAUUGGACAAUGGGCGCAAGCCUGAUCCAGCCAUACCGCGUGGGUGAAGAAGGCCUUCGGGUUGUAAAGCCCUUUUGUUGGGAAAGAAAAGCAGCAGGUUAAUACCCCGCUGUUCUGACGGUACCCAAAGAAUAAGCACCGGCUAACUUCGUG